rnacentral:lncRNA from 1 species
ACGACCUGCAGAUCCCAACACUCCAGGAUGGUGCAGGACAUCAGUCUCAAGGCAUCUUCCUUCAUGUUCUCUGGGGGAGAGACUGACUGUGGGAAUCAGCCUUGGUUGCAAAGGGAAGCUGAGAGAAGAGAGCAGCGCAGGGCACGGACAUGCCAGCCCAGUUACUGGAGAUAUCUGCCGCUGGAGACGGGUUCAGAGCCUAGUUUAAUAUCCCGAAGCAGGAAAGCUGAGAAUGUGCUGGAAAUGCUUGUUGAGGCCGACGUGUCAGGCAGCCCAUCAGUGCAGGAUGGAGCCUCGGUUGCAGAGAACUGCAGGGAGGUGGUGUGGAAGCUCAUUGGCUGUAAGAACUGCUCCGCUGCGACAGUGCUGCUGGAGGUGGUGGUGAACAGAUUUCUGAUGCCAAGCUGAUCAUCGUCUCAGCACCAGCAAAGACAUGCUAUUCCCGUCCCUGACGAGCAUUUCCUUCUUGAGAAAGUGAUUUUGAGGGGCUGCAGAUGUACUUGGAGGAAGGUUUGGGCCGGGACAGAUGACGUGCCCAUGUGGGAGCUGGACGGCCCCUCUCUGGGUAGCUCCCUGGGAACUCCCAUGUCCGCCUCCCGCUGCCUCCUGAUCCAAGGUGGAUGCACUUCAUUUGAGGCCUGGUCUUUCGUCCUUCCCUCUCCUCUUCGGGGACCACUUUGUCUAGUGCUAGACUCAUUGUGCUUCCCCCUUGGGGCUUCCUUCAGCCCUCAGCCGAUUCAAGACUUCAAAAGGAAGUUGGACAUGGAGAGGAAAAAAGAAAUGAAACCAGGAAGGAACCGCCAAGAAGCACACAACGCGUUUAUGCUGCCUUAACCACACGCUUGACUCUAAAUGGGUUUAAAAAUUCUUACUUGUGUUAGCCCAAGAAAGUUUCUGCAGCCGUCUUUUUGGUUUAAACAAUCAAAUACUCAAUAAUUCUGGGGCUGGUGGGCCAGGAUAUGGGUUACUCAGAUCUUCUGCUUCACCCCAUGCUCGGUCCCUGAGCCAGUUCUGUCAUUGGUUCUUUCAGACCAGGGCAGGAAAAGUCAAGAAAGCAAAAGCGGAUUCUAGGCUGUGGGGUUUGCUGUUUGCUAGCCCCCUGGCAGAGAUGCCUGUCCUUGCAGUCCUGAACUGGUGGCCAAGUGUGCAUGCAUGCACGUGCAGGUGUGUGCAUGUGCAGGUGUGCAUGCGUGUAUGUGCGCACACACAUUCAUGCUUGUACAUGUUUGUGUACACGCACACUUUUUUCUGCUUUCAAUUUCAAGCUGUUGCCUCCCUGAUGUGUCUGUUUAGUGACUUGAGCCAGAAAGAUUCCCGGUUCUAUGUGGGAUGAGAAUGAACGCAGGCAGGUCUCCACAGAAGUGAGUAAAGUAGAGCUGAGAAGAAGGACAUUGUCUCAUGCCAGCCUGUCCAAUAGCCACUUUGCCCCAGCCCUGCCUCAAGCCCCAGAGAGAUGACAAGGCUCUCUCUGUUUGUCGACUCCUUGAAGCUCAGAAAGGUGGGUCAAGAGGUGCCCGUCAAGCGUUUAGGCAAGCACAGGACCCUGAUCUUUACUAAGUCUCCACAUCUCUCUUGCACAGCCCUGGGCUCAGGGCUUGGUCCCCUCUGGGCAGGCCAUCCAGACUAAGUGACAGUCAGAUUGUGUGUGGGGAGGCUAGAGACAUCCAUUCUUCAUGGAUCAGCCUGAAUGGCUGGACAGAUCUUGCAAAUGGAUUGUGUAAGACAGAGUGUGGAAGAGGAGGCUGUGAUCAGUGGCUUGGAGAGCAGAGUGUGGUCAGGCGCUAAACCUAAGGCUUUUCUGGGAAGAGCUGUUAAGAUUAGACUGUUCUCCCAAAAAGCCAAUAAUUCUGAGUGUCUCCAUUAAUGCCUAGGUAGCCCAUACUCUCACCCAGCCGGUGCCCUUCAGCCUGGAACCUUUGGAUGGAGGAUUGGACCUUGUGACCUUCAAGUUCCCUUCCGAACCAAAUAUGCUCUAACCCAGGUAUGCUGUUAUUUUCUUAUAUAAUGGGAGCAAGGAGGCACUGGGAUGCCCAAGGCGUCUAGGGUCUCACCAUGACACCCCUGGUCUCCUGCCCUAGUGGUCUGGCUGGGUCCUGCACAGAGCCCUCUCUUGUAAUCAGCCAGAUCUCCAAGAGCCACGGCUCCACACAGACCUACCCAUAGAUGGACGGCAGGGUGUGCCCUGCACACAUUCAUCCCUGCCCCGCUCAGCUUCCUGCCCCUCUGCCUUCGUUCAGCCUUGGUCCCCAGGAGAAGCAGACUCUUGGAGGCAAUUCCAACAGGCUGCAAUUCCCAGUCCAGCUCCGGCCCUUACUUCCUGCACGUCUCAGCCUGGCCUCCUCAUCUGUAAAGCAGGGGUGAAUACUACCUCUUUGGAUGCAGUGGAGUGUGGUGGGUCAUGGUGGAUCAGAGCAUGGGCUUGGAGCUAGACCACAUGCCACUCGCCAGCAAUGUGUGUCGCACAUUUGAAAACUUCACAUUUUCCUGCUGCCUCCACAUCCCCAGACACAGGUGGUGUGCACCUGCCUGGGUGACCCAGUGCACUAUUGUCACGGGGCCGGCCGUGCCACAAGUUCCCCUGACUGUGACCUAGUAACGUUCAAAUGCACUGGUGGAAUUCCCUCGUGUCUGUUUUUGGUGUGCUUCACUCUGAUCCCCAAUAAAAAAGCCUCACCCGCUCUCUGCCCCCCACCUGCUUGGUGGAGCCUGGGCCCUGGGUGCUCCUCCCAUGCGACCCCUCCCAGCGGAGUGUGCAGUGACUCUGUGGGGCCUGUGAGUCUGGGAACACCUGUUGCCCUGCGCCUCUCCUGUGCCUCCUCUUGCGGCUGCCCCCGAUUGACCAUUACCUAAAAUAAUCACACACACAGUGUGGUUCUGGACAAAUCACUUCCCUGCCCCUGCCCUCUGUUUCCUCCCCUGUCAAUGCACAUAGUAAGAAUAAGCUGCUCUUUGGGGCACAGAGAGGACAGAGUUGAUGUGUGAGUGUUGAGAAUGGUGCUUGGCAGAGAGUUCAGAUUAUUGGGACUUUGCAGGUUGCUAUAGUAAGGACAGAGGUAGGUGGCUCUCGGUGAACAGUGGCCAUUUGUGUUCUAAUCAGGCCCCAGGAGGAAUGCAGGGGGCUGUUUCCCUGUGCUGCAGGGACUACUGGCCUUUAAGGGCUCCUCAGAACCAAGGGUCUGGGUCAGAAGAAAGGUUCCAGGUGAGGGCUUCUGCCUUCCCUCUUGUGCUGUCCAGAGGUGAGUCCUGUCCUCCCUCAACAAGAUGACCUGGUGGAAGGAAGGAGGCAGCGGAGACCACGCGGCUUGGCUGCCUGCCUGUGGGCAGACCUGCAGGUGUGAGGGGCGGAAGCUUGGCCUGAAGCCUGAGGCCAAGCUGAAGGCCAAGCCUGCUGGGGGGCACAGAGCCAGACAGGACACAGUGGGCUCGCCAACACUGCAGAGGAAAGGGGUUCUCUCUCUGGGCCCAACAGCACUGGUCCCGCAAGCCUCAGGCCCCCUAAGGGCUGGUCGGUGCUGCACAGAGAGAGUGUCUCCACCCCAGGCCAUGGUACGUGCCCGGUUCACUGUCCCACCACGUGCCUCCAUCCAGCUACGUUGGUCAGGUCUAGGAUGUGCCACUCGGCUCUCGGGGACCUCAGCUGAGCGACCGCAUUGCCCAGGAUGCUGGAAAUCCUCACGAUAGGCCCCAGGCCGGAGGGCUGGGUGGGGGUAUGGCUGGCCCCCUGGCACACCAGUCCCCAGUGCUGGAAAAGAGCUCAAAGCCCAUGCCCUGGGGCCUUCACCCUGCAGGCCUAUCACAUCCACUCUCCCAGCGCCCUGGCUGUAGGCUCUCCCUCUCUUCCAAACGGGAGGGCCGUCCUGCAGGCCCGUACACAGGCGCUUCAUAUCCACAGCUGGAAACUAGGUCGCUGCUGGUGAGAGGCAGCAGGGGACGGUCCACAGGCUUUCGCAGCACCCUUCCUCUGCCACUGGUUCCCUGGGUCACUGUGCAAAAGCAGAGGCUGCAAAGUCUGUGGUGGAACCCGGGAAGCCGGAGAAGGAACACGGGGGCCUUUGAGGCUUCUUCCCGCUGCCCGAUUCCUUUCAGGCUCGGCCUGAUUUCUCUUUGAGACUUGGGCUGGUUCUGCCCCUCACACUUCCUUGCUGGUCUGGACAUUUUUCAGCCUCAUCUGUCCUCUUCUUCUCUUCCCACACACUAGGCUUUGACCCUUGGGAGGGGCUGUGGGGUGAAGAGAGGCCCCAGGCAGCAGGGAGCUUGCCUCUGCCAAGAGGGCAUGGAAGUUAGGGAGUUGGGGUCUGCCUGAGUCCUGAGCUGGGCUCCAGGCCUCUGGUCCUGCACAUUCCACCCCAGCCUCCCCUCCUGACACUCUGGGCAGCUGCGGAUCUUCCCAGCUUCCCAGGAAGAAGGCUGUCAAGGAGGCUCUGGUGCCUGUAACACCAGCCAUGCACCAGGCGAUCUCCAAACAUUCAGAUCAGUGGGAUCUGAUCAGGCCUCUAGAUCUAACCACCAGGUGGGCAUGUUAGACAACAUCAUGGGGGUGUCAUCAGAAAAUCCAGACUGGGAGAAACGUGACAGGACAAAUGACGUGGUUCUUCAGCACAUACAUUGCAAGAGGAGAAAAAAGGAGAGAGAGAGAUUGAUGGUGGAACUUAGAGGCUACAGGAGACUUAGGAGACCAAUUAACUGAUUUUAACACAUGGAUGUAAUUUAGAUUCCGACCCCAAAAACUUUUUUAAAAAGAACAGUUUAUGGGUCAGUUGGGGAGAGCUGAAACUGCCUGGUUAUUUCGUGAUAUUAAGGAAUCAACUGUUAAUAGUUUUUAGGUAUGAUAAUGGUAAUGUUACUAUGUUUUCUAAAAGAGGAUCCUUAAGUUUUAGAGGUACAUACUGAAAUAUUUGUUUUUUAAAUGUUUUAAAAAGUUUAUUGCUCUUUCAGAAAUAUGCUGACAUAUUGACAGAUGAUUUGAUAUCUGGGAUUGCUUCAAAACCAUCCUGGGGUGGGGAGAGGGAGGGAUGGAGGGGAGGGUGCAGGCCAGCGAAUGGAGAUGGACUAUGAAGUGGUAACUGUUGAGCCCUGGGUGAUGGGAAGAUGGAGGUUCAUUAAAGCACUUUUUAAAAUUUUUGCAUAUCUUUGAAAAUUGCCAUGAUAAAAUCUGGAAGGAGCAGGAAGAGAAACAGGAAGAGAAAGGAUGAAAGAGAGGGAGAGGAGGACGAGGGGAAAAAAGAGGAGGAGGAGGAGGAGGAGGAAGAGAAGGCAGAGGAAAAGGGAGAAGGAGGAGAGGAAGGAGAAGGGAAGGGAGAAGGGGAAGGAGAGGAGGGAGAAGAAGGAAGGGGCAGAGGAGGAGGAGAGGGAGGAGGAGAGACAGAUGAGAGGGAGCUACUACUGCAGCUGCCGAGGCUGGCCUCCUGGCCUGUGUCCUAAGAUCCUGGAGAACACCAGGCUGGCGAGCAGCCACCCCCUCUCUGGCUGCCCCAUGGCCUCAGCCGCUUCCCACUCCAGGACUGGAGCCCUUCUUCCUUGCUGGGGACCUCACUGGGAAAUAGGGUGGUAGUGCAGGGUCCCCCUCCCUGCAGAGCAUGGAGAGGCAGCCCUUCUGCUCCUAGGAGAUGGUGCUGUUGCCCAGGAAGCCGGUCACCAUGACGAGAGUACCCGCUCAGAUGAGGAUGCAGGCGGAGGCGGUGAAGGUGCUGGAGGCCAGGAUGCUGAGGUACCUCCAGACACCACCCAGGCUGCAGCAAAUGGAAUGGGAGAGGCUAACACACCAUAAUUUUUCAAUUCCAUGAUGCCCAUUUUUUCUCACAUUUUAACGUCUCUAAAAUUGGGGCACAUCUUAUGAUUGAUGGCAUCUUACAAUUACACUUGGCAGUACUUUUUCUUGGUGAUACAAAAAAACAACAGUGUAUCUUACAACUGAUAGCUUAGAUUCAGUGAAAUCCUAGAAUACAACAGGUUUGAAAAUUCUCUGUGGGUGAGUGUUAUCUGUGGCCCAUACAACCUCCAUGACCAGUGAGGGAUUUCCUGAGUCUGGGUUCCAGCAAAAUAUCCUGGACAGAAUUCUUUUUGACCCUCUACAGCAUGCCUGGAAGGCUUGGGCACGGGUCCCAACUGUGUAUAACUAGCUCCGUGACCUAAAGAGAGUCCCUGAACCUCUCCAGACCUCAGUUUCUUCACCUCUCGAAGAAGGGAGUGAGUUAUAUUAGACCAGUAGUUCCCAGCCUGUAACUACCAAGGACCGUUUGAUUAUUUUUUCCCAUGGGUUUUAUGUUUUGAGGGCUUUUGCCUAUCAACGUGCAUUAAUUAAGUAAUAAUUCACUUCUCAUUUUUUAUUAAUCAAAGGCACAUAUAGUGCCAGGAAGAGAUUCUGAACAGCAUGAGACAGUCAACUUGACCACACUGAGUUGAUCUAACUCCAGCAAAAGGCCAAGAAUCUUGGCUUUUCAUGAGAAUAGCCUCUUUAUAGAAAUAUGCACAUUAUCUGUGAUCUGUUAGGCUUCUUAAGCCUGUCCCUCAAACCAGAGUGGGGGCUGAGCAUAUGGCUCUGGGGCCACCAAAAGACAUAUGUUUGGACUGGUCUGGGGACCAUCUGUUGGGAGACACAGAACCUCACUGAAAGCCUGAUGAAAAGCUUUGCAUCCUUUGCCCAGAGAAAUGGUCAUUCACACAAAACAAUACCCUUGGGGCCAGGGGCUGAAGUCUAUUUUGCACUACCUAAUGACCUGUGGCCUUUAUGGUCUGUAGGCCUCCUGCACCCCUAUGGUGCCCUAAGACCUGGCUGUACAAUCACCUGGGGAGCUUUGAAAAACCCAGGCCCCCCUGCAGGCCCAUCCGUGUCUGUGGGAGUGGGACCCAGCCAUGAAUUUUUUAUGAAGUUCCUGGGUGAUCCCAGCUGAGAACCAUUGCCCAGAAUUAACGAAUGGGGUCCAGGUGUCCUGCCCUCCUCUUCCCAGUUGGUGACGCUGUGCUGAGCCUCGCAGAACACAGCGGCUUCCCGGUCGCUCAGUCCCAGGAGGGGCCCCUUGAAGCUCCAGGUUCCCUCCCCUGGGAGGAGUUGCCUGGAGGGCUACUGAGAUUUGUUCAGGACCUGAACCCCAUCCUUUCCUUCCGUGUGUUUGUUAGGGUGUUUGCUUUGGCAGAAGCUUUAAGGUAGAAAGUGGGGUAAUCCUGAGGAACAGAAUUUUCAUCUAAAGGGGCAAAAAUCAGAUUAUGCAAGAAAGGAAAAAACCAUGGCUCCCAGGGGAGUCGGAGGCUAUGAGAAAUGCAGCCCCGGAGAGGAGCAGUGUGGAUCUGGCCGACGGAGGCCUGCUCUCUGCCAGGGCACCUGCAGGCCACACAAAUGGGGCUGGGAUCUUGCAAAGCUUGCAAAGUGACGCCGGAUCCUGGGCCACGGGGCAGGGUCUGGAAGGGGUCUGGAGGGACACAUUUCCCUGAUUCAGGUCUAGAGAACAACAAAUCCACAUGCAUUGCUGUCCAGAAGAAAUCAGGAGAUGAGUCUGGGUCAACGGGGCCUGGUUAUACUUAGCCAGGGGUCUGCAGGAGCCAGAGUGCUGCAAGUCCUCCGGGAAGCUCCUGCCGGGGACGUGGUCAGCUCUUUAGAAAGCAAGCUUUCCUCUGAGCAAGGGAAGGAAAACUGCUCACUGUUGGAAUGGGUCACCAGAGGGUGCCACGGGAGGGCGGAAGUCAGCAGGUCUGCAUGCCAGUCCUGGCCGUGCCCUUGACUGGGUAUGUGACUGUGGACAGACAGUUGGCCUCUCAAAGCCUUAGUUUCUUCAUCUGCAAAUUGGGGGCACUGGAUGGGAAUAUCUCUGAGGUCCCUUCCACAUGGUUAAACUGUCCCUGUUAGUAUUGGGCAACAGUGUUCUGCCAAGACACCACCAGCAAGAUGCUUCUGGACCAGCGGCUCAUGGCUGUCACUCAAACCACUUGGAAACUGCCCAGUUCAACAGAAAGCAGUGGAAGACUGGUGGGGCAGGGAGAGCGCUGACCCCAGAACCAAGCAUCACGCUGGACUGAAAAGGUUUUUGGCCUGGACAGGAGUUCCCCCACUGGGAACCACACACAUCAUCCGUGUCUCUCCUUCCAGGUCGGUCUGGUCAAUGGCACCAUCACCCACCCACCCUAGACCAGACUAGACACCUCAGGGUCAUUAUUGACUCCUUCCUCUCCGCUCAAUGACAGCCAGUUCUCCUCUGCUCUCAAACCUGUCUCCAUCUCCCCACCGUCAGCUCCCAGCUCCUGCUCUACCUGCAGGCUGGCAGGCUGUGCCCCAAGGCACUCCCUGCUGAGCAAUCCCCACAGGCUCCAACAGCCAGAGCCCCAAGCCCAGACUCUUUUGCAUGGCCUCAGGGCUCUUACGUGUCUGGCCUUAACCUAUUUUUGGCUUUAUCUUCUGCUACUUUCCUUCCUCCGUACCUGGGCUUUAAUCACCAUGAACAAAGUAGUUGCUUUUCUUGUAAACAUUGUAGAUACCCAUUAACUAUGGCAGCAAUAGUAGAGUGGUAAAGAGGGUGAACUCUGGGGUGAAGUACCGGUGUCCGAGUCCAAGCCCCUCUGUUUACGGCUGUGUGGAUUUGGAUAGGUUACCAAACUCUGGGCCUCUGAGAGGCUCUCUCCUGUCCCUUCCCAACCUGCUCACAUUGUUCUCUUUGCCGUUCCUUUUCCACUGAAUUCCUACUCACCCAUGAAGCCCCAUCUCCAGUGCGGCACCUGCUCUGACUCUGCUGGGCAGGUGAGCUUGUCCCUCUCGUGCACACCUGUGGCACUGCUCCCCUCACAGCAGCCCUCGGCCCGGGGGUGGGAGACUCCCCCGACUCCCCUCAGAACCCCGGGCCCAGCAAACCACCUGGCACCUGGCAGCCGCCCACAUGAGCAUGGGACUCCACGAACGGGGCUUUGUAGGGGGCUUUGGAAAUAGCGGCAUCUGCUCCCCUCACCCGUCUGUCUGCUGAGCUCCUGAGGCAACAACGAGUAUCCCCCUUCCCUGUUUUAUGGCCGUUUUUAUUUUUGGAGGGGCAGUCUGCAAAGUGCCAGCAGUCCCCGAGGGCAAUGGACUUUCCUCCAGGUCAUUAGGAAGAAGCCCCUGGAAAGGAUCUUCAUGCCAGACCAAUGCUUGGCUAUUCUCGUUCUUUCUUUCAACCCACACCCACUGUGCACUUGCUAUGAGGACGCCAGGCUCUCAGGCCAUAGUGGGGUCCACACCUGUCACUUCACCUGCCCUCAUGUCGCAGGCCAGUGACUAGAUGGGAAGGCCCAGCAAUCACCAGGGUGAUUUCCAUUAGAAAGAGAGGAGAAUGGGUCUAAUUUCAGGGAGGGGGGCUGGCAAACACAGCCUGGGGGCUCAGGAGAGGACUGGGAGGCCAUGUCUGAGCAAGGCUCGGUUGCUUGUAAAGAAUGGUACCCCGUUCCCACAUCAGAAGAGUCAGCUGAACCCCGGGCUGCAGUCCCAAUAGUGCACUGCUGAGCCUGGCGCUCACCUGCAGGGUAGAUGGCACCUCAGUGCCACACCUGAGCCUCUGAGCUCUCCAGGAGGGCAUAGGCAGGCAUGUAUCAGGCACCACUGCUCACCCUGCUCGUGAGUGACGUUUUUCUGAGCACCAGGCAAGCACUUCUCCCCGGCUCUGUCCAUGCUGCCAUUGCCUUGGUUUGACUGAAUCUUCAAGGACAGGCUUGUCAUGCUAAGGGCCAUUUUCCACUUUGAGGCAUUCUUUUCUUGGUUCUCUGGUUUUAAAGAGCACUUGAUAAAAUAAAUCAGAGCACUGCUUCCCCCUCUGUCUUCCCCAUCCCAUCUACCCUUAUAACAAGAGCAGAAUCUCAUGGGGCAUACCGAGGGGUGGAGCUGGAAAGGAACAUAAAAUCACCUUCCAAACCCAGCUCAGUAUCCAAGGGAAACCUUCCUUGGAGCUGUCUCUCCCCACUCCUCAGCAAACCAUUCUGUCCUCUGUACCAGCUCCAUGUCUUGCCCAUGUUUUUGUAAUUAUACUCAUCACUGCCUAUUUGUUUUAUUUGCUACCUUGUGUGUCCUCUUUUAGCCUCUUGAUAAAACCUUAUUCAUCUUGGUGUCUCCAAUGGAGUCCUACAUGUGGGAGGGAAGAAAGAAGGAAGAAAGGAAGGGAGGGAGGAAGGAAGGGAGGAGGGAAUCGAGUUCAACCCCUUUUAUAUUCUGGAGGGAGAAACUAAGGCCCAGAGAAAAGUGACUUUUCCACAGUCACACAACUAGCCAGGGGAAGCAUGGAGCUAGAACUCAAGAAUCCUAAUGCUCAGUUUAGUGUCCAUUUUACCAAUUGGGCUGCUGACCCACACGAAGCUGCUUGGCCCAGGAAGCAAGUUGUGCGGUGCCUGGGCUACAGUAGAUCUAGAGUCCCUGAGCUGCAGAUGGGCAGCUAGGAGGGGUGACCACAGCUUCAUCCUGACUUGUCUCACUCACCAUGGCCCCGAGCAGACCAAAUGCACAUCCCUCUUGAUAUGGUUUGGCUGUGUCCCCACCCAAAUCUCAUCUUGAAUUGUAGUUCCCAUAAUCCCCACAUGUCGUGGGUGGGACCUGGUGGGAGGUAAUUGAAUCAUGGGGGCGGGUCCCCCAUGCUGUUCUCAUGAGUGAGUUCUCAUGAGAUCUGAUGGUUUUGUAAGGGGCUUUCCCCCCUUUGCUUGGCACUUCUCUCUCUCCUGCCACCUUGUUUGCUUCCCCUUCCACCAUGAUUGUAAGUUUCCUGAGGCCUCACCAGCCAUGCUGAACCAUGAGUCAGUUAAACCUCUCUCCUUUAUAAAUAACCCAGUCUUGUGUAUUUCUUCAUAGCAGCAUGAGAAUGGACUAAUACACCCCUCAGCCAUGGCCCUGUCCCCCAGCAGAUCCUGACAGCCAAGAGGGGUAGAGGUGCCCCGAAAGCCGUGGGGAGUCCCAUGCCAUUCAGCAUCUCAAGAAGCGGUGCAGCAGAGAAACCAGCUACGAGGUCCCUCACCUGUUUUUCCUCAAAUGGCAAGCCCAGGAAGGGGGCAGAGGCCACGUUCAGUGGGGUGAUGCUGUCCGAGGUGAAGGGCUUUCUAGCUCUGGCAAAGAGGUGAGCAGAAGGCCCCACCAGGGCCUCCCUAGAUCCUGAAGUGAUGCUCCCAAGCCACCUCAUUCCCCUGCCAGGCUCGGUCCUCCAUCUUCUCUGCCACCUGUCUUGGUCCCAUGCCUCCUUUAAGGGCUCCCAAGCUUCCCUGUAGGCUGAGCCCUCCUGGCGGCCUGGGAAGGAGCAAGGUCUCCGCUUCAGGAGCAGAGGCAGCCUCUCCAGUCACGGAGUGCUUCCCAUUGCCUGGCAGAGCUCCUGGGAGGCUGGAAAAGUUUUGAUUAUGAACACAGCCAAGCAGCUAAUUAAAAUAAUAAAUUAGAGAAAAACAUUGCAGGGGUAAUGGUAGCUGCAGGGAGCCGUGGAGGAAAAGGGAGGGGAAAGAAACACAUCUUCUAGGUGGCCGCCUAGGAAAGCCUGGGCCACAUUUUCUUUUUAGGGCCAUGAAAGAGGCAUGAAAGUGUGGCAUUUUGGUUCCUCCUCUGCUCAGCAGGAUCAUCCCAUAAUGAUUAUGGCUUAACUGAAACCCUAGGUGGGGUGGGGCGGUGGGAGUCAGAGAUAGGGUGACGGGGAAGAAUUGCCACCUGAAUCCUGCUUCGUGUUUUGCAAACUUUGGAAUGUGACCCAUUUGGGUGAUAAAAUAAAUUUAGUGGGUUGUAACCUGCACUAAAAAAAGUGAGCUAAAAUAGUAGAGAAAAUAUCAGCAUGCAUCUGUAUUAGGAUUUUCUAGAUGGGUAGAACUAAUAGAAUCUACGUAUAUAUGAAAGGGUGUUUAUUAAGGAGAAUCGACUCACAGGAUCACAAGGUAAAGUCCCACAAUAGGUCGUCUGCAAGUUGAGGAGCAAGGAAGCCAGUGGUGGAUCAGUCCGAGUCCCGAAACCUCAAAAGUAGGGAAGCCGACAUUGCAGACUUCAGGCUGUGUCCAAAGGCCCAAAAGCCCCUGGCAAACUACUGGUGUAAGUCCAAGUGUCCAAAAGCUGAAGAACUUGGAGUCUCAUGUUCGAGGGCAGGAAGCAUCCAGCAUGGAAGAAAGAUGAAGGCCAGAAGACUCAGCAAGUCAAGUCCUUCCAUGUUCUUCUGCCUGUUUUAUUCUAGCCAUGUUGGCUGCUGAUUAGACGGUGCCCACCCACAUUGAGGGUGGGUCUGCCUGCCCCAGUCCACUGACUCAAAUGUUAAUCUCCUUUGGCAACACCCUCACAGACGCACCCAGGAAAAAUACUUCACAUCCUUCAAUCCAAUCAAGUUGACACUCAGUGUUAACCAUCACAGCAUCAUAUACCGUAAGGGUAAGUUUAGUUUUCUGAAUGUUUCGUGUGAGCAUUUCUUAUGCUUCCAUGCAUAUCAUGAGUCACCAUCAGAAAAGUCUCAAAGUCAGCACUAUGGACAGAGAAAGUCAUUAAAGAGACCAGGCAUGCCCAUCAGUCUAAUCAUAAUAGUUAUGCAUAAUAGCUAAGCACUGAGUAUGUGGCACAAAUUGUGCUAUUUUUCUAAAUAGUAACCUCUAAUUCUUACAGGUAUUGGUAUUCUCAUGUAGCAUAUGAAAAAACUGAGGCUCAGUGAGAUUAAGUGAUUUGCCUAAUGUCUUAGUUCAAGCUGCUGUAACAAAAUGCCACAGUCUGGGUGGCUUAAACACCAGAAAUUAAUUGUCUCACAGUUCUGCAGGCUGGGAAGUCCAAGAUCAAGGUGAUCUGUUCUGGGUGGGGCUCUCUUCCUGGCUGGCCAAUGGCCGCCUUCUUGCGGUGUUCUCACCUGGUGCUUGUCUAUGGAGAAAAAGAGAGCUCUCCCUCUCUUCCUGUUCUUAGAAGACCAUCAAUCCUAGCAGAACAGAGCCAUGCCCCUAUGGACUCAUUUAGCCUUACUUACCUCCCUGUCUCCAAAUACAGGCACAUUGCUGGUUAGGGCUUCAACAUAUAACUUUUGGGGGACACAAUUCAAUCUGUAGCACCCAAUGUCCCAGGGCAAAUAAAUAAUGGAGUCUGAAUUUGAAUCCAAACUUGAGUCUGAGCCUUCCCAGCAUGCUGUGCUGCCUCGUUAAUUCAUGAAUGCCCCGAGGACACUAGGAAAGUGUGCAAUUUAGAGCUGGGGCUGCAAAGCGUGGUGACCAAGCACACAGGCCUGGGGCCAGGCAGCACUGGGCUACAGCUCCGGGACAAGGCACAGUGCUUCCCAUUCCUAAAGCAGGGCUCUAAGAGAGCCAUUCACAGCUUCAGGCAGGGCUGGGAGGAUUAAUGGGAUGAUGCACCUGCAAGGACAAGCACAGAGGCCCACCAUAGUGAGUUCCAGGAACGCUGGGAACUUUGUUUACUGAUAGACCCUAUGGGCCUAGACCCAUGCCUGGCACUUACUAGGUGCUUCAUACAAAUUGUGGACUGAGUUUUUAAUUGUCAUUUUCAUCACUGACCUGGUAUUAGAAUACCUGGGUGCCAGUGUUAGCUUUAGCAACACUAUCAGACCUUGGGUGAGAUUCAGAACCGGGUGGCCUGUUCCCUGUCUGUAAAGUGAGGAUAAUAAUGACAGUGACCAUCCAACAGCUCCUGUCAAAUGCUGGGCUCAGAACUGCAUUGGGGCCAACCCAGGUUUCCCCUCUCUGUGCUGGGUUUCGAUAAAGAGUGCAGGGUGAUAGACUAGAGAGGACCUCGUUCUGGGGGAGAAAGGAAGCUUGUGUUUCCCCUGUGCUGUGCCUCAUACCUCGGCAGGCUCAGGCAGGAGGACCGCGAUUGGACGCUGGGGGUGUCUGUGUGGGAGGGAACCUUCUCUUGUUGGAAGGGAUCCUCACUGGCCAACGCCCCCUCCUGGGGAAUUCUGGUGAGUUCCUAGGGACUUGGUGCUCUGUCCCUAGGGACUGGGCCUGCAGGCUGCCCAGUGUCUACCCCGGAGGAGAUUGCAGCAGGUCUUGGGGACCGGACGCCAGGAACCCCUGUGUUGGAGACUGAGGUCUGAACCUUCAAAAUCCAACCAUCCCCCACCAGGGAAAGAAGUCUGAGCUGAGCUGGUCCCUGGGAAGCUGGUCCACGGCCAGCCAGGCCCUCGGCAGGGGUAUUUUUAACUGGAAGCAGGGAGCGCUGCAUGAAGGAAGCUCCCCUUGCUGGCAACUGCACCAGUAACACACUUGCUGCGCAGCUGUGUGCACUGCCACCCACAGGCCCUUCUCCUUCCCUCCCCAAAAGGAUGCACACACCCAACAGGCCCUGGGUCCUCCCCAACCGUGGUCACCAUGUCUGCUGCCCACUCCCACCUACGGGACCUUGGCACAGGCAGGAGCGCAGGGUCCGAGGCCUUCCACAAAUAUUUGGGCAGAGCACCUCAAGACAGCCCUAGGGACUAAAGAGCCGAUGACCCUCUGGCCCCAUCUGCUACUGCCCAGCCCUCUCCUGGUGCCCGGCCGGUGGUGUCUACACGGAGUCCACCUCCUCUACCCUCCCGUCUCUGCACUUUCCUGAAAGUGCUUUCCCCACAGCUGCCCCUCUGUUGCUAAGCCCAGUGGCCUCUCACCGCUGACCUUCUCAGGCCCCUGGCUUCCCUCCCACCUCGCUGACUGUUCCGCCUCAGGCUCCCCUGAUCAAACUGUAAGCACUGAUCAGCUUGUCUGGGGCUCUCUUGGUUUUAGACUAAAAGUCUCACAUCCUGGGAACUCCCUCAGUUCAGGGCAAACUGGGACUGUGGGUCACCCCAGACUCACCCUGACCUUGGGGACACCCCAGAUCACCCUGACCUUGGGGACACCCUAGACUCACCCUGACCUGUGGGGACGCCCAUGUCUCCUUCUUGCCUCUCGUUUCCUCUUGAUCUCCAUGCUCUCCCUAAGGGAUCUCCUGUAUUUCUGUGGCUGCAGCUGCCAUUGGGGUGGGGAUGAUCCCCAAGUCUGGGGUGCCAGCCUAACUUUCUCCUGAGAUCCAGACCUGUAAGCUAACUGCCUACAGGGCAUCUCUGCUCAGAGGUCUCCUGGCACCUCGAAAAGUCACCAUGUCUACAUCUGACCUCACCAUCUGACCCCAAACUUCUCUCUCCAGUCUCUGGUUUCAAUGAAGAGCUCUACCAUCCAUCAGGAGAUUCAUAUCCCAGGCACCUCUUCCAGCCAAAGGAAUCUCUUCUUGUCAAUUUCACCUCCUAAGUCCCUUGACUCCAAGUAUUUCUGUCCCCGCUGUCAUCCCCACAGUGCAGGUCAUGACCAUCUCUCACUUUGAUCGGUGCGAAGUCUAGAGGAAGUGUCAACAGUGGCCAUUCCUGGGAUGGCCAGUGGUAUGGGUUGGACUGUGUCCCCCCAAAUAUAUGUUGAAAUCCUAACCACCGGAACUGUGAACAUGGCCUUAUUUGGAAAUAAGAUCUUUGCAGAUGUAGUCAAGUUACAAUGAGGUCAGAAGGGUGGGCCCUAAUCCAACAUGACUGGCGUCCUUGGAAGAGGAAGACGUCACGCGAAGACAGAGACACACAGGAGAGCAGCAUGUGACAGCAGAGGCCUUAGAGAUUGGAGGGAGGCAGCUGCAAGUCAAGGAGUGCUGAGAAUUGCCAGCCACUCUCAGAAGCUGGAAGAGGUGAUAAAGGGUCCCUCCCCUAGAAGCUCCAGAGGAAGCACAGCCCUGCUGAUGCCCUGAUUUUGGACUUGUAGCCUCCAGAACUGUGAGAGAGUGAAUUUCUGUUGCUUAAAGCUAUCCAGUCUAUGGCACUUUGCUACAGCAGCCCUGGGAAGCUAACAUAGGGAGAUAAGGACAAUUUUCAUUUUCUUAGCAUACUUUUCAGUAUUUUAGAGGUGAUCUGUAGUGGAUACACAAGACUUUUAUGAUUAGGAAAAACAUAGUCAUUCUUAAAAAGAAGUGCUCAUCAGUAGGAAUCCUAAGCGUCCUAUUGGAUUUGUCCCUGAGAAUUGAAGCCAUCUAUGCCACACAGUUUACUGUCCUCAUCAACACAGCUUUUUUAUUCCACAGGAGACUCUUGCCCAGGAAGAUAAAAGCUGAACAUAAUUUUAUUGUUCAUUUCGGGGACUUUGCAAAUAACAUUUACACAAACAGCAGAUUGUACAACUUUUUAAUAGCAUCUAAUGACUGUCUUUUCACCAAGACUCUUCAAAAACUCUUGCCUUGCCAUGUCUUCCCAUCCCAAACUCCUAGGUCAUGGCUCUUCCCAAUCUUAAUCAAGUCCCUGCAGGAAAGAUGCUCAAAACUCAGACAUAUCCCAUUUGCAUUUGGUUUUCUGAGAUGAUUCUAAGACUCUGUAAAGGGUCUUCUCCCUUACCAUGGUAGCAGGAAACCUGGCUGCCUUAUCUGAGGGUUGAUUUGGUGGUAUUUUCAGGCAUUUGACAUCUGAUAUUCAAAAUAUUGCAUUUAUGGAAUGCAACCCCAAUCAUCCCUGAAUUGUAGCCAGGGAAACAGGCUCCUCGAACUUCAGUUGCUCAAGGCCACACCAUUAGUAGCUGGCAGAGCCUAGGUCCAGCUGCCUGCAAAGCCUGCACUCUUACCCUUCUCCUACUUUCCCAAAUUUAGUGAGACUGUAAUACAAAAUACUUAUAUUCUGGUGUCUGGCUAUUUUUGGGUGGUAUUCGGCUCCCAAUUGUCCAGAUAAUGGCCCCAAGCGGACAGGCUAUGGUCCUCAGGAAGACAUCACCCAGGCAGGUUUCCUGCGGGGAGUCACCAUAGAGACCAUUUCCAUCACAGGCAGCAGCAGCCUGAGCUUCCGGGACUUCUGUUUCCCUGCCCUGGGCCUGGAGAAUGUUAACCAUGAAAGGCAAAUGGGCUUCGGUUGGAAACAAGCCAUUAUUAGCCACUAUUUCAGGCAGUCACAUUUCCCACAAGGCACUUGUGCAACAAGUUAGCAGGGAAGAAAGAAGCCGAGCCUUUGUACGGCGGGGCCAGAACACAAAGCUCAUUGUGAUGUUUGUGCUUCUAUUCAGACGCCACGUGGUACGGACUCCACGCCAACCUGCAGACUGGAUUCUUUUCUUCCCCCUCAGUAACAAACAUACACAUUUGCUUUAAAGUAGGCAGAAUUUGCCCAUGGGUGGUCUUUGAUUUGGAAGAAAUCAACUUCAAAGUGGUGACUCACAAAAAACAAAGGUGGCUUGACUCAUUCAGUGCUCGGGAAAGGGGAUGUGUGUGCAGAAUUCACUCAUCCAGAAGCAGAAGUUGAAGACAAGGAGUAAAUACUUCAGGUAGACAAUCAGCCAGUCAUCCUGCUUGGUCUUGUAAUGGGCCAUGGCUGCUGAGUCUAGAGAAGGCACACAGGCUGGGCUGGGGAAUUACCGAGAGCCACCUCACCCCUCCAGGAGCCAGGGCGCCUCAGCCAGGUUCCCUUUGAAGGGCUUAUUUGCCUGUCUUGCCAGGGAUCUUUGAGGCUGUGGGUGUGCAGCAUAGAGUAAAGAUCAGGGAAUCGCAAAGGCUACUGGAUGCCUUAGUGGAGGUGAAUUUGGGCAGAAUUUUCCAGACCUUCAGGUGCCGGUUUUGUUCUCUUGACAAAGGUCUAACCCACAAAUCUUCCACAGAUUUCCCUGGCCUUGUUGUGUUCUUAUUCUCUUUCCCUGUCUCAUCAGGGUUGCAGGACACAAGUUUAUCUGUCAUAGACACACACUCUUUCUCUCUCUCUCUCUCUCUCUCUCACACACACACACACGUUCAGCAUGGCUGCUUUGCAGUGGAAACCUGUACUGCACAUCCACAGGUGUGGCAGGAGUCCCAUAUCAGAGCAUCUGUGCCGGAAAGACCUCAAUGAUGACCCAUUCUACCUUACCUGGCCUCUACACCCCUUGACUUCCCAGAUGAGGAAGCAGGUCCAGACAGGCCCAGACUGUUUGGCAGAAGAAGUCUAAGAGCCUCUGGAGUCUUAACUCCUUGGGUUCAAACCCUGAUCUGUCACAAGGUGUGUGACACUUUGGGCAAGUGACAUGACUUCCCAUCUCUCAGUGUUCUCAUCUGUAAAUGGGGAUAAUGAUACCUACAUCACAGGGUUGUUUUGAAGAUUGAAUGGGAUAAUCUAUGUGACGUGUUUAGCAUAGUCCUUGGCACAUAGUAAGUAUUUAAUGUUAGCUUUUAUUAUUACAUGCCAUAGAGCUGGUACUAGAACCUACGACCCCAAUCCUAAAACUCCACUCUUUGCCCCAGCACCAUGCUCUGUCUCUUGUCCGGACACCCGUCAAUGGACUUUCUAGGGAAAGUCAACAUUGGUGAUAAAGGCAGAGAAGGCCCACUGUACUCAGUAAUCGCAUUUGCUUCUUAGUCAGUCUGAACCUCAGUAAGUCUGAAGCCUCUAUGGUUUCCUCUUCACCUGGACCUACUUGUACCCCUGGGCACCUGCACACUCACAGAGUAGUUGCUCUUUAAGAAAUUGUCCCCAUUUUGGGAAGCUCUUUUAUUUCAGAACCAUACGCAAUGAGGCAUUGGUUUUGCCCAUGACCUUCUCUUCCUCUAUCAUUCCCAACCCCCCAUCAGGCCCUCCUCCCCGCUUGCUCUUGCCUCUUUGGCUGGUGCUGGGCCAAAGCCCAAAUUACUUCCCUGAGCCACUGCUCUGCCUUUUAUUUCAAGCUUAUGGGCUCAUGGAGACAGGGAGAGAAGAGGAGAGAAAAGAAAAGGUGGCUGUCUUAUUUGGGAUUUCUAUUUGCAGACCUUGAAGAAGGUAAUUUAAGACUGUUAGUCUUCUCAUUAAAAAAAGACAAAACCCAUUUUUCUUCAAUUUAGUUUGAGAGAUAGGGUGGUGGAAGAGAUAUAGGAGAAAAAAAGGAAGCCUGUCAAGAAUGGCGAUGGAUGGGGGUGGCCAGGCAAUCGAGCAGAAGGUGUUUGGAGGUCAUUCUGCAGUCGGCCCUGACAAGAGACUGGGUGCAGCGUCCUCUGGGUGCCAUGGGUUUUUAGUAAGCUGAGGGAUUUGUGGGGGCCUGGGCGCUACUGUCUGCAGUUUCCCUCCCUCUGCACGUCCCUCCCCUCCCAGCCAGGGCCCACUAGACUCCUAACACAGAACCUUCUCUCGAUCUGCAGCAGAGGGGCACGAUUCACUCACUCAAACCAAGGGGUCAGGGCCCCUGAAAGGAAAAUUGUAUUUUUUAAAAAGGACUUCAGGCAGAAGAUAGGACUUAACAAAGAAAAACGUAAUUCUAAUGGUAAAAUUUUAGCCAUUAUUGGUAGAGAAGAUAGAACCACAGAAUGUCAGGGUUAAGGGGAAACCUUGGGGCUCACUUAAUUCAAUCUUUUGCAGACAGAAUGAGGAAAUUUACCCAUCGGAGCUAAAACGCACAUCUUAAAAUGACUUCUCUAGAAGUCUGUAAUCGAUGGUUGCAGUUUUCUAUCCCCCACUAUUCAAGGCUCCAUCUCCUGUAAUAUCCCACCACACUUGGGUCCCUGUGCUGGGAGUGGCAAAGGCCCCAAAGAAACUUGGAGCCGGAUGCCUGGAUCUCAAAGCUAGCCUUGCCAUUUUACUGGCUGUGUGACCUUGGGCAAGUUACUUAACCUCUCUGUGCAGGUCACAUUUAUGGAACACUUUCGCGUGCCAGAUGCAGACCUAAGUGCUUUACGUGCAUUAUUCUGGUGCCUCUUUCCAAUACCCCUAUGAAGUAGGGCUAGUCCCAUUUUGCAAUAUAACCGAGGUUCACACAGGUUAAAUAACUUGUCCAAAGUCACACAGCAAGUAAAUGGCAAAGCCAGAGUUGAAUGAGGAAUCCCUGGCUCUGGCCUCAAGCUCUUACCCACUGUGCAGUACUCUCAGGACCAGGGAACCCAGGGCAAGGCAGGAAGGGGUGGGGGGCAGAGACUGAUGGUUUCCCUCAUACCCACUGUGCAGUACUCUCAGGACCAGAGAACCCAGGGCAAGGCAGGAAGGGGUGGGGGGCAGAGACUGAUGGUUUCCCUAAUAUUUGUUCUCCCCUUUUUCAUUGGGAAUAGAGCAUCUCCAUUUUAAUUGGGUACUUGGUCACCUGGAGCAAAAGACAUUUCCCAGCCUCUCUUCCGGCUAGGCAUAGCCAGGAUUCCCUGUUUGCCGGAGAGCGGUAUGUAAGCAGAAAUGGUAUAUGCGGCUUUUUAGAAGGAUCGUUUUUUGGUAUCUGUUUCAUGUUCAUUUACAAAGAAUGUACAUCCUGUCAUUGUAGAGUACAGAAUUCUGUAUGUGUCGAUUAGGUCAAAUUUGUUAAUUGCGCUUUUCACAUCUUCUGUAUCCUUACUGAUCUGGUGUCUGAUUGGUCUAUUGGCUAUUGAAAGAUGCCUGUUACAGGCUCUCCCUACAAGUGUGAAUUUGUCUAUACCUUAUUUAAGUCUCUUAAAUUUUGCUUCGUAUGUUUUGCAGAUAUUUUAUGGAGUACAAACAGAUUUGGAGUUAAGAUAUUAUUCUGGCGGAUUAAUCCCUUUAUCGCUAAUAAUGUCAUUAUCUGUCUUUUAACAGUUAGAAGUAUAUAUAUAUAUAUUUUUUCUGAGACAGAGUUUCAUUUCGCUCUUGUUGCCCAGGCUGGAGUGCAAUGGCGCAAUCUUGGCUCACCGCAAUCUCUGCCUCCCAGGUUCAAUCGAUUCUCUUGUCUCAGCUUCCCGAGUAGCUGGGAUUACAGGCAUGCACCAACACACCCGGCUAAUUUUUUGUAUUUUUAGUAGAAACGGGGUUUCUCUAUGUUGGUCAGGCUGGUCUCAAAGUCCUAACCUCAGGUGAUCCACCCGCCUCGGCCUCCCAAAGUGCUGGGAUUACAGGCAUGAGCCACCGCACCCAGCCAGAAGUAUCUUUAGAGUGGUGGGGGCAUGUCUCUCUUCACCCUUUCCUUCUUCCUGUUGGUUGGAAUGCUGAUGUUGUGGCUGGAGCUGAAGCAGCUCUAUUGAACCGUGAGCUGAAAACUAUGGGUUGAAAAGGAGUAACAAUUAGUUCAAAGAUUCUGGGUCUCAGAUGGUUUCAGAGCUGCCGUUCAUCCCUGAGCUGCUUACCUCCAGACUUAGUUUACAUUAGAGAACAACAAACUUGUAGCUUCUUUAAGCUACAUGUUUGUGCCAGGGGCACUGCAGUGGGGGCAAUAAGACCAGAGGCCCAUGGCAGGCAGUGGUCGCCGAGCUCUUCUGACUGUACACCCCCUCAAAUUUCUUAUUUAUAAUUUUUAUUCAUGUACUAUUGUCCAUUUAUAUAGCAGGUAUUCAUCAAAACUUCAUUUUGCAGUUUUGAAAGUUAAAAAAUAAUGAGGGAUAGGGAUUUCAGUAAGUUUUCCCUGUAUCCCAGUAUAUUGUCUGUUGCCACCUUGGAGACCACUGGUGCAGAGUGUGCAUGGAGUGGGUGAGAGCUGAAGGUUAGGUGGGGUCAGGUCAAGAGUGACCUUACAUGUGAAGCUCGGGGACUUGAAUUAAUGUCCUGAAAGUGAUGCUGACCCCAGGAAGGUGGUGCUUAAGUUCGAGAAAGAGAUGGUGGAGGAAUGGAGAUAGGGGACAGACACCUGACUGGCGCAGAGGGAGGCCCCAUCAGGCAGGCAGUGUGCUCCAGGAAGAGGCAGGAGAGGAAAGACCCCAGGAGUGGGCAGAGGAAGAAGCAGCCAGGUGGGAAGUUGAAACAGAGGCGGGGGUAGAAGGAGAACCAGGGGAGUGGGGGUCCAGGUAGCCAAGGAGGACAGGGUGGGCUGCAGUACUGCAUGCUUGCUAAGAGGUCCAAGCAAGGGCUCACCUUUGUCCAUGAAGGAUACAUGGGGAUCAUAGGGAUGCACCAUGAAGGGAGGGGAAACGGAGACCUGGAGGUGAAUAUUUUCAAAUGAGAAGGCUGGGAGGGAAGCAGCUAGAAGGUCAGGGAAAGGAAGUGCUUUUGUGUGAUGAGGGAGGGCGGCUCGGGCAUGCCUAGUGCACUGGGAAAGGCUCCAAAGCCUGCUUAACUCUGCUGCCUCCGGGGAAGGGGACAGGGCUGAAGGAAGGUGAGUGGAAGAGCUCCAGCCACCACUUCCAGCCCUCCUCCUGACUGUCCCAGUGGAUUCCCCUCUCUGGGACCUCAUUGUACCCCAAUUUCCUUUUCCCUGGAGAGUGAUAUAUCAGGGGAGGUAGGUGGGGGAACAUGGCAAUGGCUGCAGCUGCCCCUGGAGAGGAGAAAAGCAAACAUAAGCCACUUGAUGUGAGCUUAUCUGCCAGCGAAUGGAGGGGCCAGGGCUUUGGAUAAUCCCCCAAAUCAUUUUUCAUUGAGCUUUGAGUGUCUUAUGAUUGCUGGGAAGCCGACUGGCCUUCCUAAGUGGGUGUUAUUUCUGUUCAUAGCAGUUGGGAGCUGGGCUUGGGAACCAAUUGAAGGAAGUGUUCCUGAGGGGCACCAGCUAGACAGCAGGGGGCAGGCAAGGCAGAGACUCCCACUACGGGUGUAACCAAUGCUGGAUGCAGAAUCACGGACAAGCCUCUGAAGACAAAGGAGAGGGACCGUACCUCCCAGAUCCCUGGCCUCGCGACGCUGAUCUCUUCCUUGGCCUCUAAAAGGCACAUCUGUGUCCUCCCUUUGGCCCUUUGUUCAGGCUGUGGCCUGAAUCUGAAACCCCUGCUACUCUGUCCCAAUGCUCCAGGGCUCAGGGGGACUCUACCCCUCCCUGAAGGUGGCUAUUUCCACCUUCCCAGACCCCCAGGGCAAAGCCCAGCAUCCACGGACUGCAGCAGUUGGCCUGGGUGCUUCUCAGCAUCUUAUUUAACAGACUGACUGAUUUGGUUACCUUCCCGAGCUUGUGGACUGAGAUGGGGACAGCGGUGCCACACAGUGGGGUCCAGACCCUCUUUCUGGCUCUGCCCUUUACUUGCUGCCUGUGCUUGGCGAGGCAAGCUACUUCCCUCCCUGAGUGUUUGGUUUCCCACCUGCAGGGAAAAGCAGCGGCUCUCCUGCUUAGGUCUUAGAAUUACCUGGGGGACUCGUUAAAGUGAAGAUCUCAGGGCCCACCCCCAGAGUUUCUGAUUCAUUAGGUUUAGUGUGAGACCCUGAAGGAUUUGCUCCCAGGCAGGGUGACUGAUAAUCCCCAUUUGCCCGGGACAGAGGGAUUUCUUGGGAUACAGGAGUGCUGUUCAGGGUUAAACCUGGGCAAUCCUGGGAAACCAGGAUGGCUAGUCACUGCUCCCAGGUGCUGCUGGUCUUGGGACCACACUUUGCAUCAAUGUUCUCUAAGGUCCCUUCCAACUCUGAAAGUCCCUGUGCCUGCAGUAUAAGUACCCUUCACCUCUGAAACAGGCAUAACUGGGUGGGACAUGAGGGUGGGCCCGUCCUCUCAUGCAAAUUCACAUUUAGGACACAGUUCCUGUUGAAAUGAUAAAGAUCUCCCAGAUUGCCCGGCAAUGAGCCUCAAGGUGCCUUCCCCCCAGGAAGAGGUUCUGACUGUAGCACAAAGGUGGGAUUCAGGGGCAGCCAGCAGGUGCGGGGGCGGUGAAUGUCAUUGUCAGGAUCCAUGCCAUAGGACAUCUCAGAAAGGCAACCACAGAUGCCUUGAAGGUGAACUGAUGCAUUUUGGGGACUUUCAUCAGGGCUGGAUGUGUAAUGGCAUGGCUGUGAGACUUGAGGAUCAUUGUCCUCCUACUGCAUCCCCCCGCUCUCCCAAGCAGAUGAGGCUCAAAGCACAGAGAUGCAGGAUGUGUAGGAAGAGCCCAGCUGGCUGGCCAGAUGUGCUGGGAGUCCUGGUGAGCAGGGCAGGCUCCAGCCGGGGCCAGUGCCCAGGAGCACAGGGUACCACAGGUGUUGGCUGGUGGGCAAGACCAAGUCCUUUAAUAGUGAUGGGGAGCAAGGGGUGGGAGCUGGCUGUAUAGAUCAUACAUAAACACAUGGCGUUUUGAGGCCCUGGGUGAGCUGCAUCCUUCACUCCCUCAACAAACAUGUAUUGAGUGCCUGCUAUGUGCUAUGUGCUGGUACUUGGAACAACUGGACUUGCUCCUUCAGGAGGUCACAGCAGUCGUGAGGGUGGGGCACAUGCAUGCAAACAACUUCCAGACACUGGAGAGCACUUUCAGAGAUGCUGGCCCGUCCUGAUGGGAGCGCAGAGGGACAGGCAUUGAUUCUGCCAGACGAGGGUGGUGGGGGUGGAUGGCAAAAGAAAGGGGCAUUUAAUUUGGUCCUUAAAAACAGGCAGGGUUUCUGCGGGCAGAAAAGGAGGGAGGGCUGCCCAGGGAGAGGGGACAGUGUGAGCAAAGGCCUGGCGGCAUGGCUGGGCAGGGUGGGCCGGCGGGGGCAGGAAGGGCUGGGAAGCCAUGUCUGGGCCUGGAACAAACUUGGCCUCACUAAGUUGUGACUUUCCGCUUUCCCCCACAUUCUCUACUCCUGGGAUCUCACCAACCUCUUAUUCUUUGUCUGCUCCCAUUAGCAAAAGCUGAGGUUGGGAGGGACCUGACUCUCCGUUCCCUAAGGGAAGAGCACCCCAUACCAGGGGAGGGCUUUUGGGGCGCCUGAUGUUUCUGAAAACAAACAAGCAAACAAACAAAACUGGCAUAUUUCACUUAACAUAACGUCCUCCAGGUUCAUCCACAUGUCACAGACAACAAGAUUCCCUUCUUUUAUAAGGCUAAAUAGCAUUCCAUUGUAUAUAUAUGCCACAUUUUCUUUACCCGUUCAUCCCCUGAUGGCCGCUUAAGUUGAUUCUGUAUCUUGGCUAUUGUGAACAGUAAUGAAAUGAACAUGGAAUGCAGAUAGCUCUUCAACAUACUAAUUUCAUUUCCUUUGGAUAAAUACACAGUAGCAUCUUAUGUUAAGUGAAAUAAGCCAGGCACAGAAAGACAAAUACCACAUGAUCUCACUCAUACGUGGAAUCUAAAAAGUUGAUCCCAUAGAAAUAGAGUGUAGAAUGGUGGUGGGGGGAAGUGGGGAGGGGAAGAGAUGUUGGUUAAAGGGUAUAAAAUUUCAGUUGGACAGGAGGAAUAAGCUCAAGAGAUCUAUUGCAUGUCGGGACUCUGUAUGGUUAAUAACAUUGUAUUUUUUUUUUUAUACUUUAAGUUCUAGGGUACAUGUGCACAACGUGCAGGUUUGUUACAUACGUAUACAUGUGCCAUGUUGGUGUGCUGCACCCACCAACUAGUCAUCUACAUUAUGUAUAUCUCCUAAUGCUAUCCCUUCCCAUGACAGGCCCCGGUGUGUGAAGCUCCCCACCCUGUGUCCAAGUGUUCUCAUUGUUCA